UACGUAGGGGGCUAGCGUUGUCCGGAAUCAUUGGGCGUAAAGCGCGUGUAGGCGGUCCGGUAAGUCCGCUGUGAAAGUCGAGGGCUCAACCCUCGAAUGCCGGUGGAUACUGUCGGGCUUGAGUACGGGAGAGGCGAGUGGAAUUCCUGGUGUAGCGGUGAAGUGCGCAGAUAUCAGGAGGAACACCGAUUGCGAAGGCAGCUCGCUGGAACGUUACUGACGCUGAGACGCGAAAGCGUGGGGAGCAAACAGG
rnacentral:rRNA from 1 species